rnacentral:piRNA from 1 species
UGUGGUGUAAAAUGUACGGAUCCAUCU